AACAGGUUAAAUUACCUCACUGCAGUCGUCUGUUAAGGUUACUGCCAUGCUAAUAGCUACUACAAGGCGCACGUUCAUGAGAUAAAUACAACACCCACAUAAAUCUAGUUAAUGUUUAAUUACAUUGAUUGCAGUAUAUACUGUCCCUGAGCUCCGCUCUUGUUUCACUCUCUGUUACUGGAGCGCACAGAGCCACUGAGCUAAAGCCUCAGCUGCUGCUGCUGAGACUCCACAGGCGGACUUCAACUCCAGCCUGCUUUACAUACACACAGGACUCGACGGGAGCAACAGCAACGCCUGCUCACUCAGACCGAGGGACGGAUAACCUGAGACAGACAGCGCGAUGUCUUCUCCCAGCGCCGCCUCCUCCUCCGUCCCCCCGGGCCCUCUGAAGCCCAAAAGGAAGACGAAGAAGAAGCACUUCGUGCAGCAGAAGGUGAAAGUCUUCCGAGCCAGCGACCCGGUGCUGAGCGUCCUGAUGUGGGGAGUCAAUCACUCGAUUAAUGACCUGGGCCAGGUGCCUGUACCUGUCAUGCUGCUCCCGGACGACUUCAAAGCCAACGCGAAGAUCAAAGUGAUGAACCACUGCUUCAACAAGGAGAAUCUCCCCGGCCAGUUUAAAUUCAAAGAGUACUGCCCACAAGUGUUCAGAAACCUGCGAGAGCGCUUUGGCAUCGAGGAUCAAGAUUACCAGGUCUCUCUGACCCGCAGUUCUCCUCUCAGAGACGAGGAGGGGAAAUACGUGGGGCUGCGGCUCACAUCAUACGACCGCACUUUGGUGGUAAAAGAGAUUUCCAGCGAGGAGGUCGAGGAAAUGCACAGCAUCCUGUCAGAGUAUCAUCAGCAUAUUGUCACCUCCCACGGCAGCACGCUGCUCCCUCAGUUCCUCGCCAUGUACAGAGUGACGGUGGAGAGCGAGGACACCUACCUGUUAGUGAUGAGGAACAUGUUCAGCCACAGGCUGCCAGUACACAGGAAGUACGACCUGAAGGGCUCCUCGCUGACUAGAGAAGCAAGUUUUAAAGAAAAGGUCAAAGAGCUGCCCACGUACAAGGAUGCAGACUUCUUGAAUAACAUGCAGAAGAUCUAUGUGAGCGAAGAGGAGAAAGAGAAGGUGACGAACAAACUCAGCAGAGACAUCGAGUUUCUCGUGCGCAUGAGGAUCAUGGACUACAGCCUGCUGCUGGGCAUCCAUGAUACCGAGCGAGCUGAGAGAGAGGAGGAGGACGACGCGGAGUCAUCCUGCGAGGAGGAAGAGGAGGAUGAAAAUGACCCGGCUGCCCCUCCGUGCUCCACUUCCCCUGAAGGAAUCGCUGGCUACAUGAGCUCGCUCAAGCCCAUGGGUCCUGGGGAGUUCGACCCUUAUGUGGACGUGUACGCCGUUCAGAGCGCCGUGGGUGAGUGGCACCUGAGCGUCGCCUCACGCAGAGCUGCAAAUGGCGAACGCUCGCCGUACUUCGGCGCCAGUUGUCACUCAACAGACGCCGUGAAUCAUUCCCUCGCAGGUGCUCCCAGGAGGGAGGUGUACUUCAUGGGUCUGAUUGAUGUGCUGACGCAGUAUGAUGCCAAGAAGAAAGCCGCUCACGCUGCCAGGGCUGUCAAACACGGGGCGGGAGCUGAAAUCACAACGGUUCAUCCUGAGCAGUACGCCAAACGCUUCAAGGAGUUCAUCGCGAAGAUCUUUGCCUAGCUCAAGGAUUGAUUGUGUUUUGAUGCCAACUGCACAAUACCCACAAGAAGCACUCAACAUUUACAGCUAAAAAGUCUAUGCAGAAGUAUUUAUGUUUAUUAAACUUAUUAAAAUGUGCUCACAUUAAGAUCAUUCAAUCUGGAGCAUAGUUCUGGCCUCAGUCGUGCCAAACUCGUCCUGUUUUCGGAUGAUGCACAGUCUCUCUGAAGGCUUAUUUUAUUGUGAGCCUCUUCAAGUUUAGGCAAAGACAGCCAGAGACAAUUUACAAUUUGGCUAUCCUAAGUGGACUUUUAUUAAAAGGCAAAGCAAAAACAAAACUACUGAAAAUCUGCUGUAGAGGAAAAAUCCUGCAGCGAUUUGCACUCACCUAAAGCAGAAACGACACAACGUUGAAGACCAAGAUGUCUGUGUUUUGGACAGAGAAGACGGGUCGACAUUACUAGCAGAGAGCUUUUCAUUUCACUCUCCCUCACAGGGAGUGAAGGACUGAAAAAGAUUUUCUCUGGCCCAUCUCGAAUCCCAGAGCUCCUGGCACACAUUCCUGAUGCUCCUGCUUCACAUGGACAAUUCAAAACACAGAAAGGAUAUGAAGGUUAAAAACAAGUGGCGUGAAUUUUUCAACUUCUGCCUUAGAUACAUGUCCCAAAACUGCAGCAACAAGCUCUGAAAGCUUACGCACAUCCAAUCCCCGCCUCCUCCCACCCCCCUGUUAAUGGACUCAAACCACAAAAAAGUAAACCUCUGUAACCUCAGCAGCUCGGUAUUGUUCAACGAUCCAACAUUCUGCAAGGACACACUUUUUAAUUGGUUAUAAACCCAUCAGUUCGGAUCUCGGUAUUGAUGAUUCAUUUUUCUUAGCAAACUUUUUUUUGUUGUUCCUUUUCAAUGUGGGAGUGCUUUGAGACAAACAACCUUGAGAGAUCUUGCUUCAGUGAGAUCGUGCACAAGAUAACCGAAAAGAAGCUCAGAGCAAACCAGUUAUUUUCUGCCCACACCUCCCUCAUCCUUCUCAUUUAUCCAUCAGAUAUAAAGAAAGACAUUUCCACUUGAAGUUUAAGAAAUUAAACUUAAAGUCAAGAUUUCUGGAUGUGUUUACUCAAGUGUGUGGAGCUUGAAUAACUGUACUGUAUUAGAGAAAGUAAUGCUAGUUGCACAAAGGCUGGUUAAAGAGUUAAACACCCUGGAUCAUGAUAAACAUUAAUGCAUAUUGGUGUAAAAGCCAAAGGUGGUUGGAAGUUAGACUCUAAAUGCUGGAAUGUUUUUCAGAAUAUUAACUAAACCUGCAGAGAAAAAUACAGGCUCAUCAAUCAUAGUUAAGUAUUUGCUUAAAAAUAAUAAUAAAACAAGAAGUUAAAAACUAGCAGGACAACACAUGGAGCAGGAACAGACAGAGACUAGUUCAUGGGGUUAAACGGGAUGUAACCGGAGGAUCCAGCAAGGAGUGACCAAAGGAGAGGUGGUAAAACACUGGAAGUUUGAAUGCUGGGACAACGGACAUCAAUGGAAAACAAGGUGCAGGUGUGAGAGGAGAGCAGAGGGCAAGGUGAGGAGAGAAACAGAGAGAGAAAUGGCAGAGGAGAGCAGAAAAAAAAUCCCAAGCCAAAUCUAGAUGUGACAAACGCUAACCAAAUGUAGACAGGUUGCAAGAUAUACACAAAAUCUAACUAAAAUAAGAGUGAAACAGAACAAACUGAUGCAAUCACAGAAAGAAUAUCCAAGGAUAGCAAAUGAAAACCCCAAAGUCCUGACAGAAACAUGAUGGUGUGGAGAUGCAGGGAAGCUUAUCAGAUUUGAUGAUUGGGGUUAAAUUUAGGAUGAUUGUGGAGA